rnacentral:rRNA from 1 species
UGGGGAAUAUUGCACAAUGGGGGAAACCCUGAUGCAGCGACGCCGCGUGAACGAAGAAGGUAUUCGUAUCGUAAAGUUCUGUCCUAUGGGAAGAUAAUGACAGUACCAUAGAAGAAAGCUCCGGCUAAAUACGUGCCAGCAGCCGCGGUAAUACGUAUGGAGCGAGCGUUGUCCGGAAUUAUUGGGCGUAAAGGGUACGCAGGCGGUUUAGUAAGUCGAAUGUUAAAGAUCGGGGCUCAACCCCGCAAAGCAUUGGAAACUGAUAAACUUGAGUAGUGGAGAGGAAAGUGGAAUUCCUAGUGUAGUGGUGAAAUACGUAGAUAUUAGGAGGAAUACCAGUAGCGAAGGCGACUUUCUGGACACAAACUGACGCUGAGGUACGAAAGCGUGGGGAGCAAACAGGA